rnacentral:rRNA from 1 species
CGGUAACACCCGAAAGCCGGUGGCCCAACCCUUGUGGGGGAGCCGUCGAAGGUGGGACUGGGCGAGUUAGGACGG